GUGAUCGGAGCAAUUAGGUGCUGUCCAUGGGCUGGGGAGAUGACACAGGGAGCUCCUGAAGUUCUGCCAUUCCCCGUGGUCUGCAGUUCAGGAAGCUUCUGGAACAUGCGGCGCCUCUGCCAUGGAAACACGAUCCGCGUCGUCAGCUUCAGAUGUGAUCUUGGAACGCUGGUAAGAGCAGGACCCACAGGAGUCUGUGCCCGCUUUGCCCUAGGCUGAAAGUCAGUUGGACCCUCCACCCACUUCAAACUCUGAGUCUGUAUGGAGCCUGCUGUGGUCCUCACAAAAGGUCCUGAGGAGAUCACCGGAGUAUGGAGGCUCUCCUGUCUGUUAGCUUUAUGUGGCUGUGUCCUCUGUAGCCCCUGAAGAGUUGCUUUAAGACCUCUAUUACACUCUUCUUGGUUAUCAUCCAAUGGCUUCCUAG
rnacentral:lncRNA from 1 species